GACGAACGCUGGCGGCGUGCUUAACACAUGCAGGUCGAACGGAAGGGCCCUGCUUUUGUGGGGUGCUCGAGUGGCGAACGGGUGAGUAACCCGUGAGUAACCUGCCCUUGACUUUGGGAUAACUUCAGGAAACUGGGGCUAAUACCGGAUAGGAGCUCCUGCUGCAUGGUGGGGGUUGGAAAGUUUCGGCGGUUGGGGAUGGACUCGCGGCUUAUCAGCUUGUUGGUGGGGUAGUGGCUUACCAAGGCUUUGACGGGUAGCCGGCCUGAGAGGGGGACCGGCCACAUUGGGACUGAGAUACGGCCCAGACUCCUACGGGAGGCAGCGGUGGGGAAUAUUGCACAAUGGGCGGAAGCCUGAUGCAGCAACGCCGCGUGCGGGAUGACGGCCUUCGGGUUGUAAACCGCUGUCGCCUGUGACGAAGCGUUAGUGACGGUAAUGGGUGAAGAAGCACCGGCUAACUACGUG
rnacentral:rRNA from 1 species